rnacentral:rRNA from 1 species
GACGAACGCUGGCGGCGUGCUUAACACAUGCAAGUCGAACGAUGAAGCUGGAGCUUGCUCCGGUGGAUUAGUGGCGAACGGGUGAGUAACACGUGAGCAAUCUGCCCUUGACUCUGGGAUAACCGCGGGAAACUGUAGCUAAUACCGGCUACGAGGCGCGAAGGCAUCUUCGGGUCUGGAAAGAAUUUCGGUGAAGGUGGAGCUCGCGGCCUAGCAGCUUGUUGGUGAGGUAAUGGCUCACCAAGGCGACGACGGGUAGCCGGCCUGAGAGGGUGACCGGCCACACUGGGACUGAGACACGGCCCAGACUCCUACGGGAGGCAGCAGUGGGGAAUAUUGCACAAUGGGCGAAAGCCUGAUGCAGCAACGCCGCGUGAGGGAUGAAGGCCUUCGGGUUGUAAACCUCUUUUAGCAGGGAAGAAGCGAAAGUGACGGUACCUACAGAAAAAGCACCGGCUAGCUACGUGCCAGCCGCCGCCGUAA